CCUGAGNAACCCGAAAGAUCGAUCGGGGAGAUUCAUCGUCANCGGCGCCGGCACGCGGNCGGCUCNCGAUGCAGCGCGUCGGCACGCGGCCGUCCGCGAGGAUGAACAUCAUCCUGGGAAAAAGGCCUGGAGUCGUCGGCAUGCACUUCUCGCCCAGUAGGACGUCGCGACCCGUCGGGUGUCGAUCCACGGCCCGGUGCGGGAGUCCGUCUCGCGCGGGGCGCCUCGCGGCGUCUCCAGCGGUUCGGACCCCCGGUCGCCCGAACGGCUGCCCGGCGGUACUCGCACGGUAUAUGGCCGCAUUUCCGNGACUCUCGAGUCCCGAGCGNUGCGUCCGGCCCGUCGUCAGCGUGGCAAGUAGUUCCCGGUGCGAGCGGAUCCGAGGUCGCCAUCGAGCCUGGCCAGCUGUCAGACCGACGGUGUGUUAUCUCUCACCUAGGACCGGCCAUAANGCGCAAGCAAAAUUGCGCCUCGCUAACGGUCGGCGACAGCUACUGCUUUGGGUACUUUCAGGACCCGUCUUGAAACACGGACCAAGGAGUCUAACAUGCGCGCGAGUCAUUGGGAAUGACUCAAGCCCAGAGGCGCAAUGAAAGUGAAGGCCCGGCCUCGCGUCGACCGAGGGAGGAUGGGCCGCGCGUUCUCGCGACNCGGCCCCGCACUCCCGGGG
rnacentral:rRNA from 1 species